GAUGAAGAAUGCAGCGAAAUGCGAUAAGUGAUGUGAAUUGCAGAAUUCAGUGAAUCAUCGAAUCUUUGAACGCACAUUGCGCCCCCCGGCAUUCCGGGGGGCAUGCCUGUUCGAUCGUCUCCAGGACGAAUCCUCGCGCGAGUGAACGCGCGGUCGUGGCGGAGGUGGCGUGCCCGAGCAGGGCGGCCACCGCGCUGGAAUCCAUGGGCGGACGCCUGCCGCGUGGCCGAGCGUGAUAUGACGCAUUGGCGCUCGUGCGCGGCGAGGCUGCCAGCCCUGGCCCGUCUGUCGGGCGGGGUAGAUCACCACGUGGGAACUCCUCGAAUCAGGUAGGGAUACCCGCUGAACUUAAGCAUAUCAAUAAGCGGAGGA
rnacentral:misc_RNA from 1 species